rnacentral:siRNA from 1 species
UGAUAAGCCGUGCUCAUUUGC